AGAGAUUUUUUCCACGGUUGUUUUUAAUGCUGCAUAGUCAAUUAAUGACAGAAUUUUGGUUGGGAAAAAAAAUGAAAAUUAUUUAUAACCCAUUACUUAAACUACUUUUACCACUGGUUUUUAACCUUAUUCUAACAUGCAUUUUCCUGGUCUUUAGAUACCCAAGCACUUUUGUUACCUGGGGUCUUCAAGCUUCAGAUCCAGAAUCGUGCUGAAACAGAGGUGCACGCUGAGCUUGGCAGUUGCCCACUGAAAAUGUACAUGUGCCAUCAUCCCAACACGAUUGGUAUUAUGAUAGAAGGACAGCCCGUGGUCAGAGGUGUGCCAAACCUGUCUAAAUCAUGCUGUCUCCUGUUUGGACUGACCUAUGCUCUCGACCUCCAUUGUGAUACAAUGUGAUUUUAUCUUUACAUUCAUCUUUAUCCACAUUAAUGCUCACACAUUACAUUACAUUAAUAAGCUCACAUUUAACUUUAUCCAAACAUUACAGAUUGGGCAGUUUGGAUGUACUGUUCAGAACAGGUUGAAAAUACACUUAUACAGUGUUUGUUUUAUAUUAUACUGUACAUGUGUGGCCACAUUUAUUUGCUGUGUAGUCACUGUUAAGUGACACUGGUUAACACUGAAUAAAUGUUUUGUCUUCAAUCUA